rnacentral:rRNA from 1 species
UACAGAGGCCCCAAGCGUUACUGAGAAUCACUGGGUUUAAAGGGUGCGUAGGUGGCGCGUUAAGUCCGUUGUGAAAUCCCUUGGCUCAACCAAGGAAUGGCUUCGGAUACUGGCAGGCUUGAAUCCGGGAGAGGGAUGCGGAAUUCCAGGCGUAGCGGUGAAAUGCGUAGAUAUCGAGAGGAACACCUGCGGCGAAGGCGGGUUGCUGGGCUGACACUGACGCUGAAGCGCGAAAGCUAGGGGAGCGAACGGG